UUAGGAAAUCUUCAACAUCAUAAUACGUGGUUUUAGCAGCACUUGCCUAUCAUCUUUUCUUUUCUUUUUGUUUGGGUUCUUUUGGGAGUUAAAUUAAGAUUAAAAAAAAAAAAGUGGAGCUGAAAAGGGUAGAACUGUAAAAACAGGGACAAAACCGUGGAAGUGAGGGGUCAAAAACACAACUCCAUGGAGAAGGUGAGAAACAGAGGAAAUGAGUUGUUGGUGUAAGGAAAGGGUACAAAGGAAAGAGUGUUAUGAAAGCUUAUUUCUUUCCUUCUGUUCACAUGACGAUUUUGUAUUGAAGGCUAAGCAUUAUGAUAGUUGUUGUUGUCACUGCAGUUAACUUCCUGUAUAAUGCUAUGCCACCCCGCAGCCUCUAAUUCCUCAACUGCCCUUCCUCAUACAUUUUUUCUCUCUCUUUCUAACAUUCUGUUUCUUACACUUCCAAACAGCAAUAACAGCAGGAAACAAUAGCAACCCAUUGUCUGGAACUCAAUUUGUUUUCUUUGUUCGUUGUUGCAUCACUUUCUUUGUCCUACUGUGUUUCAGACAAUGAGAACGGUUUUUAUAAGGAAAAAAGAAAAUAAAAAUUUGGUCUUUUAACUCUCUAACAUAAACGACAACAAACUUACCAAAAAAUUCAUUAUUUCUCUUUCUCUUUUUUGGGUUUUCUCCUUUCUUUCUUUCUCUCUCUUUGUGUUGGGAAAUUGUUUUUUCUUUCUUUAGCUGCUUCCUAUGGAAGCUGUUGCAGCUUCCGAGGCUUGUUGUGUUAAUGUUGCGGUUCAUGUAAGACCGCUUAUUGGUGAUGAGAAACUUCAAGGUUGUAAAGAUUGCGUUACUGUCAUCCCAGGAAAGCCUCAGGUACAAAUUGGGACACAUUCCUUUACAUUUGAUCAUGUCUAUGGGAGCACUGGUUCUCCCUCUUCUUCCAUGUUUGAGGAAUGCAUUGUUCCCCUUGUUGAUGGCUUAUUCCAGGGAUAUAAUGCUACCGUUCUUGCUUAUGGUCAGACUGGAUCAGGUAAAACGUAUACCAUGGGCACAGGCUUAAAAGAUUGUUGCCAAACAGGAAUCAUUCCUGAAGUAAUGAAUGCUUUAUUCAGCAAGAUUGAAAGUCUAAAAUAUCAAAUUGAAUUUCAAUUGCACGUUUCCUUCAUUGAGAUUCUGAAAGAAGAAGUACAAGAUUUGCUGGAUCCUACUUCUAUAAACAAAUCUGAUACUGCAAGCAUGAAUAUGGGGAAAGUAAACGUCCCUGGAAAACCACCAAUACAGAUUCGUGAAUCAUCAAAUGGUGUUAUUACACUGGCAGGAUCUACUGAAGUUAGUGUCAGUACAUUAAAAGAAAUGGCUGCUUGCCUAGAACAGGGUUCAUUGAGUAGGGCAACAGGGAGUACAAACAUGAAUAACCAGUCAAGUCGGUCACAUGCAAUCUUCACCAUCACCUUAGAGCAAAUGCGUAAACUCCUUCCUAUUUCUGGAGAUGGAAGUCCUAAUGACAUUAUGAGUGAAGAAUAUCUUUGUGCCAAGUUACAUUUGGUAGAUCUUGCUGGAUCGGAGCGAGCAAAAAGAACAGGUUCUGAUGGUAUGCGUUUUAAAGAAGGAGUUCAUAUCAACAAGGGCCUGCUUGCACUUGGUAAUGUCAUCAGUGCACUUGGUGAUGAAAAAAAGCGCAAAGAAGGUGUUCACGUUCCAUAUCGAGAUAGUAAACUUACUCGGUUUUUGCAGGAUUCACUUGGUGGCAACAGCAGAACUGUCAUGAUAGCCUGCAUUAGUCCUGCUGACAUUAAUGCUGAGGAAACCCUUAAUACUUUAAAAUAUGCAAAUCGUGCUCGCAAUAUCCAAAACAAGCCUGUUGUUAAUCGAGAUCCUAUCUCCAAUGAGAUGCUAAAGAUGCGUCAACAAUUAGAGUAUUUGCAAGCAGAACUUUGUGCCCGUGGCGGUUCUGAUGAAGUGCAGGUUCUCAAGGAAAGAAUUGCCUGGCUUGAAGCUGCUAAUGAGGAUCUUUGCCAAGAACUUCACGACUACCGGAGCAGAUGCACUAUUGUAGAGCAACGUGAAACAAAUGCUCAAGAUGGCAGUCCUUGCUCUGUCAAAAGUGAUGGGCUGGAAAGGAACUUGCACAGUAUAGAGUCAUCUGACUAUCAAAUGGGUGAAACCAUGAUAGCAGGCGAUUCCAGAGAAAUUGAUGAGGAAGCAGCUAAAGAGUGGGAGCACACACUGAUACAAAAUACUAUGGACAAAGAGUUGCAUGAGUUGAAUAGACAUUUAGAGGAAAAAGAGUCCGAGAUGAAACUUUUUGGAGGAGACACAGUUGCACUCAAGCAGCAUUUUGGGAAGAAAAUUCAGGAAUUAGAGGACCAGAAAAGAGCUGUGCAGAAAGAGAGGGAUCGCUUAUUGGCUGAAAUUGAAAAUCUUUCUGCUGGUUCUGAUGGACAAACACAAAAAGUGCAAGGCAUCCAUGCUCAGAAACUAAAAUCCCUUGAAGCACAGAUUCUGGAUCUUAAGAAAAAACAAGAGAGCCAGGUUCAACUUUUAAAGCAGAAACAGAAGAGUGAUGAAGCAGCAAAACGACUGCAAGAUGAAAUUCAAUUCAUAAAGGCACAAAAGGUUCAGUUGCAACAUAGGAUAAAACAAGAGGCAGAACAAUUCCGGCAAUGGAAAGCCUCUCGAGAAAAGGAACUGUUGCAGUUACGGAAAGAGGGCAGGAGAAAUGAGUAUGAAAGACAUAAGCUGCAAGCUUUAAAUCAACGCCAGAAAAUGGUUCUCCAAAGAAAAACAGAAGAGGCCACCAUGGCCACUAAGAGGCUAAAAGAGUUGCUGGAAGCUCGAAAAUCUUCUGCCCGUGAUAACUCAGCUAUUGCCAACGGGAAUGGAACAAAUGGGCAGACCAAUGAGAAAGCAUUACAACGAUGGCUAGAUCAUGAGUUAGAAGUCAUGGUGAAUGUGCAUGAAGUUCGCUUUGAAUAUGUGAGGCAAAGCCAAGUGAGGGCUGCACUGGCUGAAGAUUUGGCUGUCUUAAAGCAAGUAGAUGAGCUUGCUUCAAAGGGGCUGAGCCUUCCAAGAGGAAAGAAUGGAUUUUCCAGGGCAUCCUCUAUGUCACCAAGUGCACGAGUGGCUAGAAUAUCUUCCCUUGAGAAUAUGCUCAGCAUAUCAUCUAAUUCACUUCUAUCAAUGGCUUCUCAACUUUCAGAGGCAGAAGAGAGGGAGCGAGCCUUCACUAACCGUGGACGUUGGAAUCAGUUGCGCUCCAUGGCAGAUGCAAAGAACUUGCUUCAAUAUAUGUUCAAUUCUCUUGGAGAGACAAGGUGCCAAUUAUGGGAAAAAGACAAGGAAAUCAAGGAAAUGAAAGAACAACUUAAAGAACUUGUAGGUCUGUUGCGGCAGAGCGAGCUACAAAGGAAAGAAGUUGAGAAUGAGCUAAAAUUAAGAGAGCAAGCUAUGGCCAUUGCAUUGGCUACAUCAGCUACGGGGAACUCACCAAAGUUAUUGAAACACGUUGCUGAUGACAUGAAUGGUUCAUUAUCCCCAAUGACUGUGCCAGCACAGAAACAGCUGAAAUAUAGCCCAGGUAUUGUUAAUGGUCCAGCCAGAGUGUCAGCAGCAUUCAUAGAUCAAACACGAAAGAUGGUACCGCUUGGGCAGUUACCAAUAAAAAAGUUAGUAGCUAUAGGACACGUUGGCAAUGGAAAACUGUGGAGGUGGAAAAGAAGCCAUCACCAAUGGCUCGUACAAUUCAAAUGGAAAUGGCAGAAGCCAUGGAGACUUUCAGAAUGGAUAAGACACAGUGAUGAAACAAUAAUGAGGGCAAGGCCUCGUUCACAAGCUCUUCCACAUAGAGUCUGAUAUUCGAUGGUCACCAGAUUAUGUUGGCCAUAUUAAUCAUUGAUUAUAUGUAUGUUCCUAGCCCAAGGUGCAGGGAGGAGCCUAGAAAAGAAUGCAGUUGAUGCAGUGUGCUGGAACUAGCUGUUGGAAUCUGCAUAUGCCGUGUUGGUCUAGUUGAUUUUGAAAAUAUCAAAACUAUUGAUUAGUAAUCUUCAAUUUUUUUUUCUGUGAUUACUGCAUUCGGAGCAUCUUGUAAAGAAGUGUUGAUGCUGCCAAUGGCAUGCCAAAUACGUUAAAGACAUUAGCAUGAGAUGGUGUCAUUGAUGAUGCUUUGGCAAGAGUAUAUCGAAUCUCGCAGGACCUGUCUAUGGUUUUGGUGUAUUUUCCAUCAAUAACGCACUUUUGAGGGAAGAAAUUGUUCCCAAGUUACAGAAAAUUGUAUGAAAGGUGCAAUCUAAAAGUAUUUCUCUUUUUUAGUUUUUCAUUUUUUACCCAAUUUGUAAUUUCUUGCUUCAUAUGUUUAAACGUGUGUAAGCUUGUUAUUAAUUUUGUUGAGAGAUUGAAAUGUGCAGCAUUUUCAGUUGUUACACAAGGAA